AAAAGGAUGGAGGUGCAUUUGAGAGGUAUUUCAGGUUUGACUAAAUGGAAAUAGAAAUUCAUUGUUGAAGGCUGCUUCAUUUAAUCAGUUUGCACAGGAAAAGAUAUGGUCAACCUGACAUUCAAUGCUCAUCUGACAUCUUAUAAUGAUGUCUCACUAUCUAGAUCCUAGGAGGAAAACUCGCAAAGUUAAUCAUUUCAUUGCUUUUGGAACAAAUAAGUGA
rnacentral:lncRNA from 1 species